rnacentral:rRNA from 1 species
UACGGAGGGUGCAAGCGUUAUCCGGAUUCACUGGGUUUAAAGGGUGCGUAGGUGGGCAAGUAAGUCAGUGGUGAAAUCUCCGGGCUUAACCCGGAAACUGCCAUUGAUACUGUUUGUCUUGAAUACUGUGGAGGUCAGCGGAAUAUGUCAUGUAGCGGUGAAAUGCUUAGAUAUGACAUAGAACACCAAUUGCGAAGGCAGCUGGCUACACAAAUAUUGACACUGAGGCACGAAAGCGUGGGGAUCAAACAGGG